rnacentral:rRNA from 1 species
AGGACGAACGCUGGCGGCGUGCUUAACACAUGCAAGUCGAGCGGAAAGGCCCUUCGGGGUACUCGAGCGGCGAACGGGUGAGUAACACGUGAGUAAUCUGCCCCUAGCUCUGGGAUAGCUCCGGGAAACCGGGAUUAAUACCAGAUACGACCACUUUAGACAUCUGUUGUGGUGGAAAGAAUUUUGGCUAGGGAUGAGCUCGCGGCCUAUCAGCUUGUUGGUGAGGUAACGGCUCACCAAGGCGACGACGGGUAGCCGGCCUGAGAGGGCGACCGGCCACACUGGGACUGAGACACGGCCCAGACUCCUACGGGAGGCAGCAGUGGGGAAUAUUGCGCAAUGGGCGAAAGCCUGACGCAGCGACGCCGCGUGGGGGAUGAAGGCCUCGGGUUGUAAACCCUUUCAGCAGGGACGAAGCGAAAGUGACGGUACCUGCAGAAGAAGCGCCGGCUAACUACGCGCCAGCAGCCGC